AACGCACGAGACCUGCGGACCUGCGGAAGGAUCAUUAUAGAAAACCUUUUAACAGAAGUGAUGAGAGAGAGAGAGGGGGGGGAGGAGAAGGGGGUUUUCAACUUCUCACACUUUCUCACUCACUCACUCUUUUGUCAUUUCUGAACAAACAAACAUACGUGACUAAGAAAAACCAAAGACUGAGAGAUUUGAUUUGGCGCCUUGGUUGGUUGGGGAGUGGUGAUAUCUCUCGCAAAAGUU
rnacentral:misc_RNA from 1 species